CCUACGGGCGACAGCAGUGGGGGAUAUUGCACAAUGGAGGAAACUCUGAUGCAGCGACGCCGCGUGAGGGAAGACGGUCUUCGGAUUCUAAACCUCUGUCUUUGGGGAAGAAAAUGACGGUACCCAAAGCGGAAGCUCCGUCUAACUACGUACCAGCAGCCGCGGUAAUACGUAGGGAGCGAGCGUUUUCCGGAAUUACUGGGUGUAAAGGGAGCUUAGGCGGGCGAGAAAGUUGAAGGUUAAAUCUAUCGGCUUAACUGGUAGCUGCGGUCAAAACUUCUUGUCUUGAGUGAAGUAGAGGUAGGCGGAAUUCGUAGUGUAGCGGUGAAAUGCGUAGAUAUUAGGAGGAACACCAGUGGCGAAGGCGGCAUGCUGGGUUUUAACUGACGCUGAGGCUCGAAAGCGUGGGGAGCGAACAGGAUUAGAUACCCCAGUAGUC
rnacentral:rRNA from 1 species